rnacentral:misc_RNA from 1 species
CUCUCCGCCCCUAGCCCUCGCGGGUUGUGGGGCGGACAYGAGGCACGCCCCGUGCUCCCGGCAAGCCUCGCCCAGUCGCUUGGCUGCUUCGGCCCACGGUGUGCUUUGCCCGUUCUCUCGGAUGCAGAACGUUACGCGCGGGCGUGGGGUCUUCURGCUCUGUUUGCCCAAGCAACGCAUCUGUCCCUCGACRCGAACGACUGYCGUGCCCGUCUUGAGCCCGCGGCCUCACGGCCCGUCGGGCGUC